rnacentral:rRNA from 1 species
CCGGGCUCUGAAGCAAUCGGAAGUGGUUCCAAGAAAAGCCUCUAAGCUUCAGUCAUACGAGACCGUACCGCAAACCGACACAGGUGGGCGAGAUGAGUAUUCUAAGGCGCUUGAGAGAACUCGGGAGAAGGAACUCGGCAAAUUGGUACCGUAACUUCGGGAAAAGGUACGCCCUUGUAGCUUGGCUGAUUUACUUCAGUAGGGCGAACGGGUUGCAAUAAACUGGUGGCUGCGACUGUUUAAUAAAAACACAGCACUCUGCAAACACGAAAGUGGACGUAUAGGGUGUGACGCCUGCCCGGUGCUGGAAGAUUAAAUGAUGGGGUGCAAGCUCUUGAUUGAAGUCCCAGUAAACGGCGGCCGUAACAAUAACGGUCCUAAGGUAGCGAAAUUCCUUGUCGGGUAAGUUCCGACCUGCACGAAUGGCGUAACGAUGGCCACACUGUCUCCUCCCGAGACUCAGCGAAGUUGAAGUGUUUGUGAUGAUGCAAUCUACCCGCGGCUAGACGGAAAGACCCCAUGAACCUUUACUGUAGCUUUGCAUUGGACUUUGAAUCAAUCUGUGUAGGAUAGGUGGGAGGCUUUGAAGCGGGGACGCCAGUUCUCGUGGAGCCAACCUUGAAAUACCACCCUGGUUCAUUUGAGGUUCUAACCUUGGCCCGUUAUCCGGGUCGGGGACAGUGCAUGGUAGGCAGUUUGACUGGGGCGGUCUCCUCCUAAAGUGUAACGGAGGAGUUCGAAGGUACGCUAGGUACGGUCGGACAUCGUGCUAAUAGUGCAAUGGCAUAAGCGUGCUUAACUGCGAGACUGACAAGUCGAGCAGGUACGAAAGUAGGACAUAGUGAUCCGGUGGUUCUGUAUGGAAGGGCCAUCGCUCAACGGAUAAAAGGUACUCUGGGGAUAACAGGCUGAUUCCUCCCAAGAGUUCAUAUCGACGGGGGAGUUUGGCACCUCGAUGUCGGCUCAUCACAUCCUGGGGCUGUAGCCGGUCCCAAGGGUAUGGCUGUUCGCCAUUUAAAGUGGUACGUGAGCUGGGUUUAAAACGUCGUGAGACAGUUUGGUCCCUAUCUGCCGUGGGCGUUGGAAAUUUGAAGGGGCUGCUCCUAGUACGAGAGGACCGCAGUGGACAGACCUCUGGUGUACCGGUUGUCACGCCAGUGGCAUUGCCGGGUAGCUAAGUCUGGAAGAGAUAACCGCUGAAAGCAUCUAAGCGGGAAACUUGCCUUAAGAUGAGAUUUCCCAGAGCCUUGAGCUCUUUGAAGGGUCGUUCGAGACCAGGACGUUGAUAGGUCAGGUGUGGAAGUG